CCUACGGGAGGCAGCAGUGAGGAAUAUUGGUCAAUGGGCGAGAGCCUGAACCAGCCAAGUCGCGUGAGGGAAGACGGUCCUCUGGAUUGUAAAUCCCUUUUGUCGGGGAGCAAAAAGGCCAUGUGAGGCCACAAGUGACAGUACCUGAAGUAUAAGCAUCGGCUAACUCCGUGUCAGUCGCCGCGGUAAUUCGGAGGAUGCGAGCGUUAUCCGGAUUUAAUGGGUUUAAAGGGUGCGUAGGCGGAUUGUUAAGUCAGCCGUAAAAUUGCUGGGCUAAACCCGGGCCGGCCGUUGAUACUUGGAAACUAGAGUGAGCGAGAGGUAAGCGGAAUGCGAGGUGAAGCGGUGAAAUGCGUAGAUAUCACGAAGAACACCGAAUGCGAAGGCAGCAUACCGGCGCCCGACUGACGCUGAGGGACGAAAGCGUGGGGAGCGAACAGGAUUAGAUACCCGAGUAGUC
rnacentral:rRNA from 1 species